AAUAGAUACCCAGGUAGUCCACACCGUAAACGUUGGGCGCUAGGUGUGGGAUCUGUUUCCACGGGUUCCGUGCCGUAGCUAACGCAUUAAGCGCCCCGCCUGGGGAGUACGGGCCGCAAGGCUAAAACUCAAAGGAAUUGACGGGGGGCCCGCACGAAGCGGCGGAGCAUGCGGAUUAAUUCGAUGCAACGCGAAGAACCUUACCUGGGUUUGACAUAGGAAGUUAACCAUCAGAGAUGGUGGGUCCGUGAGGGUUUCCUACAGGUGGUGCAUGGCUGUCGUCAGCUCGUGUCGUGAGAUGUUGGGUUAAGUCCCGCAACGAGCGCAACCCUUGUCUUAUGUUGCCAGCACGCUCCUUUGGGGGUGGUGGGGACUCAUAAGAGACUGCCGGGGUCAACUCGGAGGAAGGUGGGGAUGACGUCAAGUCAUCAUGCCCCUUAUGUCCAGGGCUUCACGCAUGCUACAAUGGCCGGUACAGACCGCUGCGAUCCCGUGAGGGGGUANCGAAUCGGAAAAACGCCGGUCUCGAGUUCGGAUUGGGGUCUGCAACUCGACCCC
rnacentral:rRNA from 1 species